rnacentral:rRNA from 1 species
UAUACAGCGAAACUGCGAAUGGCUCAUUAUAUAAGUUAUCGUUUAUUUGAUAGCACCUUACUACUUGGAUAACCGUGGUAAUUCUAGAGCUAAUACAUGCUAAAAAUCCCGACUCACGAAGGGAUGUAUUUAUUAGAUUAAAAACCAAUGCCUUCGGGCUUUCUGGUGAUUCAUGAUAACUUCUCGAAUCGCAUGGCCUUGCGCCGGCGAUGGUUCAUUCAAAUUUCUUCCCUAUCAACUUUCGAUGCGAAGGUUUUGUCUUCGCAUGGUUACAACGGGUAACGGAGGGUUAGGGCUCGACCCCGGAGAGGGAGCCUGAGAAAUGGCUACCACUUUUAAGGAAGGCAGCAGGCGCGCAAAUUACCCAAUCCCGACACGGGGAGGUAGUGACAAUAAAUACUGAUACAGGGCUCAUAUGGGUCUUGUAAUCGGAAUGAGUACAAUUUAAAUCCCUUAACGAGGAACAAUUGGAGGGCAAGUCUGGUGCCAGCAGCCGCGGUAAUUCCAGCUCCAAUAGCGUAUAUUAAAAUUGUUGUGGUUAAAAAGCUCGUAGUUGAACCUUGGGCCUGGCUGGCCGGUCCCCCUCACCGGGUGCACUGGUCCGGCCGGGUCUUUCCCUCUGUCGAACCGCAUGCCCUUCACUGGGUGUGUCGGGGAAACAGGACUUUUACUUUGAAAAAAUUAGAGUGCUCCAGGCAGGCCUAUGCUCGAAUAGUACAGCAUGGAAUAAUAGAAUAGGACGUGUGGUUCUAUUUUGUUGGUUUCUAGGACCGCCGUAAUGAUUAAUAGGGACAGUCGGGGGCAUCAGUAUUCAGCUGUCAGAGGUGAAAUUCUUGGAUCUGCUGAAGACUAACUACUGCGAAAGCAUUUGCCAAGGAUGUUUUCAUUGAUAAGGAACGAAAGUUAGGGGAUCGAAGACGAUCAGAUACCGUCGUAGUCUUAACCAUAAACUAUGCCGACUAGGGAUCGGACGAUGUUAUUUUUUGACUCGUUCGGCACCUUUCGAGAAAUCAAAGUGCUUGGGCUCCAGGGG